CCCUUAGAUGUUCUGGGCCGCACGCGCGCUACACUGAUGCAUUCAACGAGUCUAAAACCUGCUCUGAUAGGGGUGGGUAAUCUUUUGAAUGUGCAUCGUGAUUGGGAUAGAUGAUUGCAAUUUUUCAUCUUCAACGAGGAAUGCCUAGUAAACGCAAGUCAUCAGCUUGCAUUGAUUACGUCCCUGCCCUUGUACACACCGCCCGUCGCUCCUACCGAUUGAAUGAUCCGAUGAAUAUCAUGGAUUGAGGAUGCAAGUAGGUUAGCCUAUCUUCAUCUUCGAGAAGUGAAGUAAAUCUUAUCAUUUAGAGGAAGGAGAAGUCGUAACA
rnacentral:rRNA from 1 species